rnacentral:ribozyme from 1 species
ACCUAAAAUCAAUUGGAAACAGAAAAAAAAGGGAGGUGGAAUAAGAAAAAAAGGAGAGCCAUGUAUAAUUUUUUGUUUCAUUUUAUUUUAUUUUAUUUUUAUGUUUAUUUUUAUGUUUAUUUUUAUUUUAUGUUAUUUUAUUUUUUUUUUUUUUUUGGAAGGGGGCAAGGAAGAAAAAAAAAAGGUUACCACAGUGACCUGUU